rnacentral:rRNA from 1 species
UACGGGGGGGGCAAGCGUUGUUCGGAAUUACUGGGCGUAAAGGGCUCGUAGGCGGCUCGCUAAGUCAGACGUGAAAGCCCUCGGCUUAACCGGGGAACGGCGUCUGAGACUGACAAGCUUGAAUCCGGGAGAGGGAUGCGGAAUUCCAGGUGUAGCGGUGAAAUGCGUAGAUAUCUGGAGGAACACCGGUGGCGAAGGCGGCAUCCUGGACCGGUAUUGACGCUGAGGAGCGAAAGCCAGGGGAGCAAACGGG